rnacentral:rRNA from 1 species
GAUGAACGCUGGCGGCGUGCCUAAUACAUGCAAGUCGAGCGAACAGACGAGGAGCUUGCUCCUCUGACGUUAGCGGCGGACGGGUGAGUAACACGUGGAUAACCUACCUAUAAGACUGGGAUCACUUCGGGAAACCGGCGCUAAUACCGGAUAAUAUAUUGAACCGCAUGGUUCAAUAGAAAAAGUCGGUUUUGCUGUAAGUUCUAGAUGGAUCCCCGCUGUAUUAGGUGGUUGGUAAGGUAAAGGCCUACCAAGGGAACUAUGCGUAUCCGACCUGUGAGGGUGGUCGGCCACACUGGAACUUGAACACCGUCCAUGCUCCUACGGGAGGCCGCAGUAUGGAAUCUGCGGCAGUAGGCGAAAACAUGACGGAGCGGCCCCGCGUGAGUUAUGGCGGCCUUCGGUUCGUAAAACUCUCUUAUUAGGUAAGAACAAAUGUGUAAGGAACUAUGGACGUCUUGACGGUACCGAAUCAGAAAGCCACGGCUAACUACGUG